AGCGAACGCUGGCGGCAGGCCUAACACAUGCAAGUCGAACGAAGUCUUCGGACUUAGUGGCGGACGGGUGAGUAACACGUGGGAACGUGCCGUUAGGUUCGGAAUAACUCAGGGAAACUUGUGCUAAUACCGAAUGUGCCCUUCGGGGGAAAGAUUUGUCGCCUUUAGAGCGGCCCGCGUCUGAUUAGCUAGUUGGGGAGGUAAAGGCUCACCAAGGCGACGAUCAGUAGCUGGUCUGAGAGGAUGAUCAGCCACAUUGGGACUGAGACACGGCGCAAACGCCUACGGGAGGCGGCAGUGGGGAAUCUUGGGCAAUGGGCGAAAGCCUGACGGAGCCAUGCCGCGUGAAUGAUGAAGGUCUUAGGAUUGUAAAAUUCUUUCACCGGGGACGAUAAUGACGGUACCCGGAGAAGAAGCCCCGGCUAACUUCGUGCCAGCAGCCGCCGCAG
rnacentral:rRNA from 1 species